GCGGGCGUAGUCUAGUGGUUAUGAUGUCUGCUUUACAUCCAACAAUGUGAAGCGCAGAAGGUCGGGAGUUCGAUCCUCCCCGCCCGUA
rnacentral:tRNA from 1 species